rnacentral:rRNA from 1 species
GUUUCNGCCGCCGCGGUAAUACGUAGGGUGCGAGCGUUAUCCGGAAUUAUUGGGCGUAAAGAGCUCGUAGGCGGUUUGUCGCGUCUGUCGUGAAAGUCCGGGGCUUAACCCCGGAUCUGCGGUGGGUACGGGCAGACUAGAGUGCAGUAGGGGAGACUGGAAUUCCUGGUGUAGCGGUGGAAUGCGCAGAUAUCAGGAGGAACACCGAUGGCGAAGGCAGGUCUCUGGGCUGUAACUGACGCUGAGGAGCGAAAGCAUGGGGAGCGAACAGGAUUAGAUACCCUGGUAGUCCAUGCCGUAAACGUUGGGCGCUAGGUGUGGGGACCAUUCCACGGUUUCCGCGCCGCAGCUAACGCAUUAAGUGCCCCGCCUGGGGAGUACGGCCGCAAGGCUAAAACUCAAAGGAAUUGACGGGGGCCCGCACAAGCGGCGGAGCAUGCGGAUUAAUUCGAUGCAACGCGAAGAACCUUACCAAGGCUUGACAUGUUCUCGAUCGCCGUAGAGAUACGGUUUCCCCUUUGGGGCGGGUUCACAGGUGGUGCAUGGUUGUCGUCAGCUCGUGUCGUGAGAUGUUGGGUUAAGUCCCGCAACGAGCGCAACCCUCGUUCCAUGUUGCCAGCACGUCGUGGUGGGGACUCAUGGGAGACUGCCGGGGUCAACUCGGAGGAAGGUGAGGACGACGUCAAAUCAUCAUGCCCCUUAUGUCUUGGGCUUCACGCAUGCUACAAUGGCCGGUACAAUGGGUUGCGAUACUGUGAGGUGGAGCUAAUCCCAAAAAGCCGGUCUCAGUUCGGAUUGGGGUCUGCAACUCGACCCCAUGAAGUCGGAGUCGCUAGUAAUCGCAGAUCAGCAACGCUGCGGUGAAUACGUUCCCGGGCCUUGUACACACCGCCCGUCAAAC